CUGGGUCAGUAGCUCCUCUCCAGAGUGAGUCCAUCAGUGGAAUGCCAUGCCCCUUCUCUAUCCCGUCUUUGCAAGUGGGCUUGGGUUCUUGGGAUGAGUUUCAUCAGGCCUUAUACAUGCAGACUGUGAAGAGGUGCCUCCAACAAGAAAAACCAAUGUCUGGCAAGUCCUCUAAGGGCAGGGAUUCUGGAGAGGCCGCCCUAUCCUCAGCUUGGCCCUGGCACAUUCUGGCUGCAGGCAUGAGUCCCGAAGACCCGUAGCCAUGGCAGGGCAGGGCCUAGGUAUUGAAGGAGGAUCCCACUCAGAGGCCAG
rnacentral:lncRNA from 1 species